GUGGCAUCCACCACACGCCUCCGAGAUCCUGGGCGUUUUGAGGUUAAAAAUGUUCAGGCUUGGAGAACCUACCCCUGGAGGAGUGUUAGGGUUUCCGGGCUCGGAUGUCCGCGAGCUUGACGCCUGACCUAGUUGUGUCUGUCUGGGCGGUGACGUUUGGUCUGAGCUGACCUUUCCUCACAAUCGUGAAUUUGGGCUGUGAGGAUCAGGCCUUGUCAGAACCCGAGAUGAGAGGAGAGAGAUUUCUGGUUCAGUAAGGGUGAGAGCCAGGCUCCAGACUAUAGUGAAUUUUCCGAGGAGAUAUGUGUGGGUCCUGAAUACCAUCCCAAGUGUCCUUAUAAGAGAGAGGCAAAAGAGGCAAUAGAGACACAGAAAAGAAAGCCAUGUGAAGAUGGAGCAGAGAGAUAUAUGGCCACAAGCCAAGGAAUGCUGACAGCUGCCAGAAGCUGGAAGAAGGCAAGGAAUGGACUCUCCCCUACAGCCUCCAGAGGCAAUGCAGCCCUGCCAACACUUUGAUUUUAGACUUCUGGCCUAUAGAACUGAGAAAGAAUAAAUUUCUGUUCUUUUCAGCUACUAAGUUUGUGAUCACUUGGUGCAGCAUUUACAGGAAACAAAUACACCUCUCCUUCUAGAACUCCAAUUAUGUGAACAUUAGACCAUCUAAUAUUGCCCCACAUGUUCCUGAGGCUCUCUGUUCAUUUUCUUUUUAAUCUAUUUUUCUCUGUUCUUCAGAUUGGACAAUUGCUCUCUUUUUUGUUUGUUUGUUUUUUUGAGAUGGAGUUUCGCUCUUGUCGCCCAGGUUGGAGUGCAACGGCGCAAUCUUGGCUCAUUGCAACCUCCGCCUCCCGGGUUCAAGUGAUUCUCCUGCCUCAGCCUCCUGAGUAGCUGGUAUUACA
rnacentral:lncRNA from 1 species